rnacentral:rRNA from 1 species
CUGCAGCUCAAGUGGUGACCACUAUUAUUGGGCCUAAAACGUUCGUAGCCGGUUUAGUAAAUGCCUGGGUAAAUCGUGUAGCUUAACUAUACGAAUUCCGGGUAGACUGCUAAACUUGAGACCGGGAGAGGCUAGAGGUACUCCUGGGGUAGAGGUGAAAUUCUGUAAUCCUAGGGGGACCACCAGUGGCGAAGGCGUCUAGCUAGAACGGGUCUGACGGUGAGGGACGAAGCCCUGGGGCACAAACCGGAUUAGAUACCCGAGUAGUCC